GAAUGGGCUCUGACAGGGUGAUGGGUCGGUGGCUUUUCAGUAUUCUACAGCCCAAAUACAGCCCCACUGCAGAGGCUCUUAUCGCACCAGGAGCAGGUGUUGCACAAGUCUUUCCCGAAAAUUAUGAGACACCUGGGCAAGGAAGGGCUGUGCAUUGAGGGUUCCAUGCUGACGAGGCUCCUCCAGUGUUUCAUUGAUGGGAAACUCUUCAGGCUCACCCUGCAACUGUGGAUGUGCUCAUCUUGGAGGGCAAGCAGAGCACCUCAUGAAGCUUUCCUGGAACAUCAUCCCGGAGUUUCAGGAGAGGCUCUCUCAGAGCUCGGCCCUGGAGGACAAUGCCAUCCUCAGGAACCUUCAAGCCUCCAUGAAGGAACUCACAAGGACACACUGGGACCUGCCACCCCCAGAACUCGAGUGAGGAUCCUCGAGGGUGUCCCCUGGCAUUGGGCCCCUCUGUGAGGGGGAUAGUCUGGCCCUCCUCACCCCACCAACUCAGCUCCAGGGACUCAUGCCAUCAGCCUCCAUGUGACAAAAGCCUUGACCUCCCCCAGCCUCACCUGAUGGGGCUGCCCCAAGGUUGAGGCCAAGGCCCCUUAGCACAAAGGGGCUUCCCCAGAACCCAGGGCCAGGCUGCUCUCUGGGUGGCCCAGAGGAUCAAGAUGCAGCAAGCUUGUUUCCUGGUGAGGUCAGAACUUGUAUUACACGAA
rnacentral:lncRNA from 13 species